rnacentral:rRNA from 1 species
UACGGAGGGAGCUAGCGUUGUUCGGAAUUACUGGGCGUAAAGCGCGCGUAGGCGGCUAUCCCAGUCAGGGGUGAAAUCCCGGGGCUCAACCCCGGAACUGCCUCUGAAACUAGGUAGCUAGAAUACUGGAGAGGUGAGUGGAAUUCCGAGUGUAGAGGUGAAAUUCGUAGAUAUUCGGAAGAACACCAGUGGCGAAGGCGACUCACUGGACAGUUAUUGACGCUGAGGUGCGAAAGCGUGGGGAGCAAACAGG